rnacentral:tRNA from 4 species
AUGGGCGUGGUCCAAAGGUAGGACAACGGAUUCCAAACCCGUUAGUGGGAGUUCGAUUCUCUCCGCCCGUGC